rnacentral:rRNA from 1 species
AUGUCUAGUAAUAAAGAUGUAGCAGUGUGUGAUGCUUGUCAGCAAGGGAAAAGUCAUCAACUUCCUUUUUCGGAGUCCAGUCGUGAGGUUAAACAUCCUUUAGAAGUCCUGCUCAGACUUCUGUCAGUGGUCACAAUUAUUAUAUCAGUUUCGUUGAUGCUUAUAGUCGCUUUACCUGGCUUUACCUUAUUAAACGCAAAUCUGAUGUGUUUGACAUUGUUGUUCAGUUCCAAAAACAUGUUGAACGCCUUCUCAAGCACAAAAUUGUUCAUGUCCAGUCGGACUGGGGGGGUGAGUAUCGCAACCUCAACUCCUUCUUUCAGUCGCUUGGGAUCGCUCACCGUUUAG